rnacentral:misc_RNA from 1 species
GAUGAAGAACGCAGCGAAAUGCGAUAAGUAAUGUGAAUCGCAGAAUUCAGUGAAUCAUCGAAUCUUUGAACGCAUCUUGCGCUCCUUGGUAUUCUGAGGAGCAUGCCUGUUUGAGUGUCAUUAAAUUCUCAACUACACUGACUUUGAAUUGGUGUGGCUUGGAUUUGGGGGGAAAAUUGUUGUGGGCUUUUUGUAUAGUCUGCUCCCCUGAAAUUGAUUAGCGGUACCUUUGUGGAACUGUCUACAGGUGUGAUAAUUAUCUACAUCUUAGACAUCUGCUGGAAUGCUGCUUUCUAAACCUUACUUGUAUUGACAAUCUUGACCUCAAAUCAGGUAGGACUACCCGCUGAACUUAAGCAUAUCAAUAAGCGGAGGA